rnacentral:rRNA from 1 species
CAGUAGCCGCGGGAAUACGUAGGUGGCAAGCGUUGUCCGGAAUUAUUGGGCGUAAGGGGCUCGCAGGCGGUUUCUUAAGUCUGAUGUGAAAGCCCCCGGCUCAACCGGGGAGGGUCAUUGGAAACUGGGAAACUUGAGUGCAGAAGAGGAGAGUGAAAUUCCACGUGUAGCGGUGAAAUGCGUAGAGAUGUGGAGGAACACCAGUGGCGAAGGCGACUCUCUGGUCUGUAACUGACGCUGAGGAACGAAAGCGUGGGGAGCGAACAGGAUUAGAUACCCCAGUAGUCCCUGUCUCUUAUAC